rnacentral:tRNA from 1 species
CGCGGGAUGGAGCAGUUUGGUAGCUCGUCGGGCCCAUAACCCGAAGGUCGCAGGUUCAAAUCCUGCUCCCGCAA